GUUCUGAUCACAUGGUAUGUGAUCACCUGAGACCCCCACGAUCUCUCCUGCCCAGUGACAGAAGAAUCCUCAGUCCCCUCCACCUGCCUGGAGCCUGGGAGGAUUGUAAUGGAGACUGGUCUGAGCAGCCCAGGGGCUCCACACAAUGAGAUAGUUAAAAGUUUACAGCAAAGGAACACGUCAUGUCUACAUAUGGCAGGGUUUGACAUGUUAUGAGAAGCUAAAGGAAAAUGGAACAGUGGUGGGAAUCCGGUGAAGCACCGAAGCAUGUAAUCGAAAGUCCGGCAGACGGCGGUGUAGAGCCUCUGAAGUACCUUCAAUAUCAACACUGCUGCCAUUUUCCUAGCUUCAAAAUGGGGGAAUUGUGAGAGAAUAAUAAUGAAAAAUUGGUUUAAGCGGCCAUGUUGUCCAUUUUCAACCAUAUUUGAACUAUGUAUUACCUCUCAGAUAGACUAUGGUCCUAGAGGCAACCAAGGAAUUCCUGGAGACUUUUCUAUACCCAUAAGAGGGCCUCUACCCAUAACAAGGGCCCCUUUCUAUAGGAAUCGAUAGAGGCCCCACUGUGCACAUCUUGUAUUAAUUAAGUAUUGUAUCAUGUAUAUGACAUCACCUUACUUGUUUUUUCUACUUGUACCAUAUAUAAGGGGGUCCUGCCCCCACCUCAAUAGAACUGAUUUUGAACACACAGUGUCUGUGUCAGUCAUUUCUCCGAGCUCGUAAUAUAUAUAUUAAUUAGAAACUCUAUGACAUCGCAUUAAAGUCCCUUUGACAGACUUCCCUAACAAUGACACUGAGUCCCACAGCCCACCUGGAAACAGCUCCUCUAUAACUUUGCACACAAUUGGCGGGUUCCAGCAGUGGAUUACCAUUUGGCAACCCUGUGUGACCACCUGAUAAUCCAUCGAUGUAUACAAAAGUCUCAUGUCUGGUCACCAAUUAUAAUAUCUAUAUUAUGAUGAUGAUUAUUAUUGUCUCCUUCUUUAUAUCCUACAUGUAAUAUUGUGAUAACGUGAAAUUAACAGUUUUGUUACGCCAGGGCACUGUUAGCCUAUCCACGGUCAGAGGUUUCUGACAGCUUCUCCUGAGGUAGGCACGUGGCAAUAAAUACUCCGAUACAAUGUUACGGAGAACUGUCUUUACUGGGGCAGGAUAGAUGGUAAAAUAUUUACAGCAUAGAAUGGUGCACAGGGAGGUGCAAAGUAAACCAAGGAAUCCUAUUGCCUUGCUGGGACUUGAAGUUUGUGGUGUAUGGUGACUGACUUGUGCUAAAUGACAAUCCACGCUAACUUUGGUGCUGCAGACUGAAGACUACUGACUUUCUUCCCCAGGGUUUAGUGUUUACUGCUACGCACUGACGUUCACCUGAGCGUAGGGGAUUUUCCUCAGGAGAUCCGUGGCUGUAGGAUUAGACUUCUUAUUAGCUUAUGGCCUCCUCAGAUCACCGCACACUUCUCUCUGCCUUCUUCCACUCUGUACCUCAGUUCACAACAGAAAUUGAAACAAAACUGGGCGUCUCCUCCUCCCCGCCUCCUCCCCUGCGCCCAGCGUAACGCUUCACAGGAAGCAGACUGACGUGUA